GACGAACGCUGGCGGCGUGCUUAACACAUGCAAGUCGAACGGAAAGGCCCUGCUUUUGUGGGGUGCUCGAGUGGCGAACGGGUGAGUAGCACGUGAGUAACCUGCCCUUGACUUUGGGAUAACUUCAGGAAACUGGGGCUAAUACCGGAUAGGAGCUCCUGCUGCAUGGUGGGGGUUGGAAAGUUUCGGCGGUUGGGGAUGGACUCGCGGCUUAUCAGCUUGUUGGUGAGGUAGUGGCUUACCAAGGCUUUGACGGGUAGCCGGCCUGAGAGGGUGACCGGCCACAUUGGGACUGAGAUACGGCCCAGACUCCUAAGGAAGGCAGCAGUGGGGAAUAUUGCACAAUGGGCGGAAGACUGAUGCAGCAACGCCGCGUGCGGGAUGACGGCCUUCGGGUUGUAAGCCGCUUUCGCCUGCGACGAAGCGUGAGUGAAGGUAAUGGGUAAAGAAGCACCGGCUAACUAAGUG
rnacentral:rRNA from 1 species